rnacentral:rRNA from 1 species
CUGGGAGGACCAUCUCCUAAGGCUAAAUACUCUCUAGUGACCGAUAGUGAACCAGUACCGUGAGGGAAAGGUGAAAAGCACCCCGGAAGGGGAGUGAAAUAGAACCUGAAACCGUGUGCUUACAAGUAGUCAGAGCCCGUUAAUGGGUGAUGGCGUGCCUUUUGUAGAAUGAACCGGCGAGUUACGAUUUGAUGCAAGGUUAAGCAGUAAAUGUGGAGCCGUAGCGAAAGCGAGUCUGAAUAGGGCGUUUAGUAUUUGGUCGUAGACCCGAAACCAGGUGAUCUACCCUUGGUCAGGUUGAAGUUCAGGUAACACUGAAUGGAGGACCGAACCGACUUACGUUGAAAAGUGAGCGGAUGAACUGAGGGUAGCGGAGAAAUUCCAAUCGAACCUGGAGAUAGCUGGUUCUCUCCGAAAUAGCUUUAGGGCUAGCCUCAAGUGAUGAUUAUUGGAGGUAGAGCACUGUUUGGACGAGGGGCCCCUCUCGGGUUACCGAAUUCAGACAAACUCCGAAUGCCAAUUAAUUUAACUUGGGAGUCAGAACAUGGGUGAUAAGGUCCGUGUUCGAAAGGGAAACAGCCCAGACCACCAGCUAAGGUCCCAAAAUAUAUGUUAAGUGGAAAAGGAUGUGGCGUUGCCCAGACAACUAGGAUGUUGGCUUAGA